UACGAAGGGGGCUAGCGUUGCUCGGAAUCACUGGGCGUAAAGCGCACGUAGGCGGAUCGCUAAGUCAGGGGUGAAAUCCUGGAGCUCAACUCCAGAACUGCCUUUGAUACUGGCGAUCUUGAGUCCGGGAGAGGUGAGUGGAACUGCGAGUGUAGAGGUGAAAUUCGUAGAUAUUCGCAAGAACACCAGUGGCGAAGGCGGCUCACUGGCCCGAUACUGACGCUGAGGCACGAAAGCGUGGGGAGCAAACAGG
rnacentral:rRNA from 1 species